rnacentral:lncRNA from 1 species
UUUAAACCUGGAUCUAGCAUUCUGCCCAGAGUGUACCCUAGAUGCUCCUCCUUCCCCUUUCUUUGCAUUGGUGAAAGAGGAGGCACUGUAAAUGAUUCUUAUUAUCUUUGGUUCUUCCCAAAGGGCCUGAAAAAAAUUUAAGAGCUAUUUCUCCAUAAGAUCCCUUCAAUCAAAACACUUUGUCUAACUGCUCAUUUCUUCAGAUGGUAUCCGGCAGGUACUAUCAGAUGGAAGAACUGCCAUGUAUGCAUCUUGGAUUUACAGCUGAAUUGGUCCUCAGAGGUCAUUGAGUACAACGUUCUGGUGCACAGAAAGGUUAAGUGACUUGCUCAGGGUCACAUGCCAGGACUUGUUGACCUUCAAUCAGAAUUAAACUCUCUCCAGAAGACGGGAAAGGAAAGCCAGCUAUUCACUCAUCCAAGUUCCCUCCAAGAGCUCCUAGUAGCUGCUAGCAUGCGGCAGCGGCCACAUCCCGGGCAACGGCUUUGACAGGCCGGCUAAACCUUAUGAGAGUAGCCAUCGGGUCGUUGAACCCUGGUGAACCAGGACCUUGUUCACCCAGCAUGUGAAGACUGCUUCGGCUGAACAGAUGGAAGAAACCAAU